rnacentral:rRNA from 1 species
UACGUAGGGUGCAAGCGUUAAUCGGAAUUACUGGGCGUAAAGCGUGCGUAGACGGUUAUUUAAGUCGGGUGUGAAAGCCCCGGGCUCAACCUGGGAAUUGCGAUGGAGACUGCAAGGCUUGAAUCUGGCAGAGGGGGGUAGAAUUCCACGUGUAGCAGUGAAAUGCGUAGAGAUGUGGAGGAACACCGAUGGCGAAGGCAGCCCCCUGGGUCAAGAUUGACGCUCAUGCACGAAAGCGUGGGGAGCAAACAGG